UACGAGAGGUCCAAACGUUAUUCGGAAUCACUGGGCUUACAGAGUUCGUAGGCGGUUCUACAAGUGGGGUGUGAAAGCCCUCGGCUCAACCGAGGAACUGCGCUCCAAACUGUAGAACUAGAGGGAGAUAGAGGUGAGCGGAACUGAUGGUGGAGCGGUGAAAUGCGUUGAUAUCAUCAGGAACAUCGGAGGCGAAGGCGGCUCACUGGGUCUCUUCUGACGCUGAGGAACGAAAGCGUGGGGAGCGAACAGG
rnacentral:rRNA from 1 species